rnacentral:rRNA from 1 species
UACGAAGGGUGCAAGCGUUACUCGGAAUUACUGGGCGUAAAGCGUGCGUAGGCGGUUUGUUAAGUCCGUUGUGAAAGCCCUGGGCUCAACCUGGGAAUUGCAGUGGAUACUGGCGAGCUAGAGUGCGGUAGAGGAUGGUGGAAUUCCCGGUGUAGCGGUGAAAUGCGCAGAUAUCAGGAGGAACACCCGUGGCGAAAGCGGCUCUCUGGGACGGUACUGACGCUGAGACGCGAAAGCGUGGGGAGCAAACAGG